CCUACGGGGGGCAGCAGUGAGGAAUAUUGGUCAAUGGGCGGGAGCCUGAACCAGCCAAGUCGCGUGAGGGAAGACGGUCCUACGGAUUGUAAACCUCUUUUGCCGGGGAGCAACGGGGUCCGUGCGAGGGCCCGAUGAGAGUACCCGGAGAAAAAGCAUCGGCUAACUCCGUGCCAGCAGCCGCGGUAAUACGGGGGAUGAGAGCGUUACGCGGAUUUAGUGGGGUUAAUGGGUGCGUAGGAGGGCUGUUAAGUCAGCGGUCAAAUGUCGGGGCUCAAGCCCGGACUGCCGUUGAAACUGGCGGCCUCGAGUGGGCGAGAAGUAUGCGGAAUGCGCGGUGUAGCGGUGAAAUGCAUAGAUAUCACGCAGAACUCCGGUUGCGAAGGCAGCAUCCCGGCGCCCGACUGACGCUGAGGCACGAAAGCGUGGGUAUCGAACAGGAUUAGAUACCCCAGUAGUC
rnacentral:rRNA from 1 species